rnacentral:tRNA from 1 species
GGGGUCGUGGCUCAGUGGCAGAGUGCUUGCCUAGCAUGUAUGAGGCACGGUUCAAUUCUCAGCACCA